rnacentral:rRNA from 1 species
UACGGGGGGGGCGAGCGUUGUUCGGAAUUACUGGGCGUAAAGGGUUUGUAGGUGGUCUGCUAAGUCAGACGUGAAAUCCCUCAGCUUAACUGGGGAACUGCGUCUGAUACUGGCGGACUUGAGGACAGGAGAGGAACGUGGAAUUCCAGGUGUAGCGGUGAAAUGCGUAGAUAUCUGGAGGAACACCGGUGGCGAAGGCGGCGUUCUGGACUGUUUCUGACACUGAAAAACGAAAGCCAGGGGAGCAAACGGG